UACGUAGGGACCAAGCGUUGUUCGGAUUUACUGGGCGUAAAGGGCGGGUAGGCGGCCACCGCAAGUCAGUUGUGAAAUCUCUGGGCUUAACCCAGAAAGGUCAACUGAUACUGACGGGGCUAGAGUGCAGAAGGGGCAACUGGAAUUCUCGGUGUAGCGGUGAAAUGCGUAGAUAUCGAGAGGAACACCUGCGGCGAAGGCGGGUUGCUGGGCUGACACUGACGCUGAACUGCGAAAGCUAGGGGAGCGAACGGG
rnacentral:rRNA from 1 species